UACGAAGGGGCUAGCGUUGCUCGGAAUUACUGGGCGUAAAGCGCACGUAGGCGGAUUGCUAAGUCAGGGGUGAAAUCCUGGAGCUCAACUCCAGAACUGCCUUUGAUACUGAUGGUCUCGAGUCCGGGAGAGGUGAGUGGAACUGCGAGUGUAGAGGUGAAAAUUCGUAGAUAUUCGCAAGAACACCAGUGGCGAAGGCGGCUCACUGGCCCGGUACUGACGCUGAGGUGCGAAAGCGUGGGGAGCAAACAGGG
rnacentral:rRNA from 1 species